UCACUUCUCCAUCGAAGGACAGGCCAAAA
rnacentral:sRNA from 1 species